rnacentral:lncRNA from 1 species
GUGGGUUUUAAUUAUUUGAACCACACUUUUGGCUGGUAUUUGCGGUAUCAAUCAGUUGACUUUUACAUUUCCCUUAAUUUAUUUUUUUAAUUUCGUGGUUCUUAUCAAAGCGUUUUCAGCUUUUUUCCUUCCUUUUGUAGUAAAUGUUCGAAUUACUCUUCUUAGAUUCGUUUCCUAUGGUUUUAAUCCAUUGAUUUACACAUUUUAUAGUUUGUUGUGUUUUUAUUUAUUUGGCAAACAAUUCGAUUUGGUUUUAAAAAAAUUACUUUAACAACUACUUAAUUGUUUGCUUUCUUUUGAAGAUAUUUUCGUUUUGUUUAUAAAUUUAGCUUCCACUUGGAAUGGAUUCCACAAUAUCCACUCUCUCUCUAGCUUUCUCUUCUUCUAAAGCUCUCUCUUGCCGACUCUCUUUGUCGUCGUCGCAGUAAUGGAUGGGAUGGAUGUGGUUGUUGUUACUCUCCCAACUCCGCGUACACUCUCUGCUUUCUCCUUGCUCACUCUCCUUCUUCCACUCGCCCUCUUUCUACUCUUCUUUCUUCCUUCCACUCUCCUCCCUGCCUGCGUUUCAGGUGGCAACGGCAGCGGCUAUGUAGCGGCUAUCUCUCCGUCUCUCUAUGUAUUCCUUUUUUUUUUUUGGUUCGUCUUUUUUUGUAUUUUAUUUUAUUUCGUUGUUGGUAUUUUCAGUAACUUUUUCCCGAUUCCGCUUUGGUGUCCACAUUCGCUGUGCUCGCAAUUCACCGAAAAAACCGAAAGCACGAACCAACAACAACAACAAUAACGUCAAGGAGACGCACGCAAUUAUCCUGUUUAGGCACUCGAAUCAUUUAUUCAAUUAAGUUUUCAUUGCUGGAUUAUAUUCAUUUUUUUUCUUCCGGGCCGUUACUCUUCCCCCUCUUCUUUGCUCUCACUCCUAGGCCGCUGCCGUUACCCCGGUAUUCUUCCCGGUCACCCGCACAAAUCGGGUAAUGUAGGAAAUUAUACAACCGACGCCGCGUUGGAAGGAUGCUGCCUGCCUGACAGUUUCUUUUUUUGGUUGGAGCACUCGCGAUAUCCGUAAUUCUGAGAUUUUAUUCACGAUUAAAACUGCGCCCUGCGGCUAUGCAGCGAUUUAUUUAUUGCACAAUUGAUGGAACGAUUUUUUAGAAAAUUUCGAUUGCUUCUGUGUUUUUUUUUUUGGUGUGUGUCUAGUUGUUCUCUGUGUGUCUCUCGCUCGCUCGCUGCGUGUGGCAGAGUCAAAG